rnacentral:lncRNA from 1 species
ACGAAUUCAGAUUAAUCGGCCAAGUCAUUCCAUCUCCGGAAUAUUAGCGAAAAAGAAGUAUAGAAUAAGAGUUUAUCAUAUGCACAAAGUGCAUCUCAACUAGUGUGGGGAAGGGGGAAGAGUGGGCAUAUACCUUCUCUUUACAUCUUCACAAAGAGCUAUUUUUACGCCUUAAGCCACAAUUAUGCUCCACCGUUCAAAAU